rnacentral:rRNA from 1 species
UACGUAGGGACCGAGCGUUGUCCGGAAUCAUUGGGCGUAAAGAGCGUGUAGGCGGCCUUUUAAGUCCUGCGUGAAAUCCUGCGGCUCAACCGCAGACGGUCGUGGGAAACUGGAAGGCUAGAGUGCGGGAGAGGAGAGUGGAAUUCCUGGUGUAGCGGUGAAAUGCGCAGAUAUCGGGAAGAACACCGGUGGCGAAGGCGGCUCUCUGGGCCUGUCCUGACGCUCAGGCGCGAAAGCUAGGGGAGCGAACAGG